CAGCAGCCACGGGAAUACGAAGGGGGCUAGCGUUGCUCGGAAUCACUGGGCGUAAAGGGUGCGUAGGCGGGUCUUUAAGUCAGGGGUGAAAUCCUGGAGCUCAACCCCAGAACUGCCUUUGAUACUGAAGAUCUUGAGUUCGGGAGAGGUGAGUGGAACUGCGAGUGUAGAGGUGAAAUUCGUAGAUAUUCGCAAGAACACCAGUGGCGAAGGCGGCUCACUGGCCCGAUACUGACGCUGAGGCACGAAAGCGUGGGGAGCAAACAGGAUUAGAUACCCGUGUAGUCCCUGUCUCUUAUCC
rnacentral:rRNA from 1 species